rnacentral:rRNA from 1 species
GGGGGGCCCUCUGGGUCCAACCUCCCACCCGUGUUUAUCGUACCUUGUUGCUUCGGCGGGCCCGCCUCACGGCCGCCGGGGGGCUUCUGCCCUCUGGCCCGCGCCCGCCGAAGACACCAUUGAACGCUGUCUGAAGAUUGCAGUCUGAGCAAUUAGCUAAAUAAGUUAAAACUUUCAACAACGGAUCUCUUGGUUCCGGCAUCGAUGAAGAACGCAGCGAAAUGCGAUACGUAAUGUGAAUUGCAGAAUUCAGUGAAUCAUCGAGUCUUUGAACGCACAUUGCGCCCCCUGGUAUUCCGGGGGGCAUGCCUGUCCGAGCGUCAUUGCUGCCCUCAAGCACGGCUUGUGUGUUGGGCCUCCGUCCUCCUCCCGGGGGACGGGCCCGAAAGGCAGCGGCGGCACCGCGUCCGGUCCUCGAGCGUAUGGGGCUUCGUCACCCGCUCUUGUAGGCCCGGCCGGCGCUUGCCGACACAUCAA